AGACGAAUUUUGAUCCGCAGAUUUCUGAAUGGGGAAACCCAAUCAAUUUAUUGAUUAUUGCAUAUUGAAUACAUAGAUAUGCAAGGCAAACCUGGUGAACUGAAAUAUCUCAGUAGCUAGAGGAAAGGAAAUCAAAAGAGACUCCGUUAGUAGUGACGAGCGAACACGGACCAGGCCAGUGGUUUAUAAUUAAAAAUUAGAAUACUUUGGAAAGAGUAGCCAUAGAUGGUGAUAGCCCAGUAUAAGUAAAAAAAUUAUAAAUCCUUGAGUAGGACGGGACACGUGAAAUCCUGUUUGAAGAUGGGGGGACCAUCCUCCAAGCCUAAGUACUCCUUAACGACCGAUAGUGGACAAGUACCGUGAGGGAAAGGUGAAAAGAACCCCGGGAGGGGAGUGAAAUAGACCCUGAAAUCGAAUGCUUACAACCAGUUGGAGCCUUAUACUUAUAUUUGUGAGUAAUCACAACCUAUAUUUAUUAAGGUGACA
rnacentral:rRNA from 1 species